rnacentral:tRNA from 1 species
GGGGUUGUGGCUCAAUGGUAGAGCACUUGCAUAGCACGUAUGAGGCACUGGGUUCGGUUCUCAGCACCACA